rnacentral:rRNA from 1 species
AUUGAACGCUGGCGGCAUGCCUUACACAUGCAAGUCGAACGGCAGCGGACCUUCGGGUGCCGGCGAGUGGCGAACGGGUGAGUAAUAUAUCGGAACGUACCUUUCAGUGGGGGAUAACGUAGCGAAAGUUACGCUAAUACCGCAUAUUCUGGUGAGCAGGAAAGCAGGGGAUCGCAAGACCUUGCGCUGAUUGAGCGGCCGAUAUCAGAUUAGCUAGUUGGUGAGGUAAAGGCUCACCAAGGCGACGAUCUGUAGCGGGUCUGAGAGGAUGAUCCGCCACACUGGAACUGAGACACGGGUCCAGACUCCUACGGGAGGCAGCAGUGGGGAAUUUUGGACAAUGGGCGCAAGCCUGAUCCAGCCAUGCCGCGUGAGUGAAGAAGGCCU